ensembl:misc_RNA Metazoa_SRP Metazoan signal recognition particle RNA
GCUGGGCGUGGUGGCUCACGCCUGUAAUCCCAGCAUUUGGGGAAGCCGAGGCGGGUGGAUCACCUGAGGUCAGGAGUUCAAGACCAGCCUGGCCAACAUGGUGAAACCCUGUCUCUA